GCAAAAGCUCAAAUUUGAAAUCUGCCUGUGGCCGAGUUGUAAUUUGAAGGCCCCGUCUUUGGAAACGACUGCUCAAGUUCCUUGGAACAGGACAUCAUGGAGGGUGAGAAUCCCGUGAGGCAGUUUUCCGGUGUAAAGUGGGGCCGACGAGUCGAGUUGUUUGGGAAUGCAGCUCAAAGUGGGUGGUAAAUUCCAUCUAAAGCUAAAUAUUGGCGAGAGACCGAUAGCGAACAAGUACUGUGAAGGAAAGAUGAAAAGCACUUUGAAAAGAGAGUGAAAAAGUACGUGAAAUUGUUGAAAUGGAAGGGCUUGAAAUCAGACAUGGCGCAGGACGCUCCUCUGCCCCUCGGGGUUGGGUACUCGUUCUGGGCCGGGCCAGCAUCAGUUUGGCGGGCGGGAC
rnacentral:rRNA from 1 species